ensembl:lncRNA
AGUUGAACCCCUUGUGUUGGGGGUUGGAUGGUCUGCAGCCCCUUGGGCUCCAGCCAGCUCCAGAGUCAUUAGUAUCGUGAAGUCCCGGGAAGCCUGGCCCUGGAAGUUGGCACCGGAGACCGCAGGAGCGCCUCAGCCCAGGGCCAGCUGCUUCUCACCCCCAGGCUCUUCUGGGCCAGAUGCCCUGGAGGCGGGCUGUCCAAGGACACUCUCGCUUCCCUCUCAGGAAUAAGGACGUUGGUGGGGGGACAGAGUCUCCUGGACUGCAAGAAGAUCCAACCAGUCCAUCCUAAAGGAAAUCAGUCCUGAAUAUUCAUGGGAAGGAUUGGUGCUGAAGCUGAAACUCCAGUACUCUUUGGCCACCUGAUGCGAAGAACUGACUCGCUGGAAAAGACCCUGAUGCUGGGAAAGAUUGAAGGCGGGAGGAGAAGGAGACGACAGAGGAUGAGACGGUUGGAUGGCAUCAUGAACUCAAUGGACAUGAGUUUGAGUAAAGUCCGGGAGUUGGUGAUGGACAGGGAGGCCGGGCAUGCUGCACCAUGGGGUCACAAAGAGUCAGACACGACUGAGAGACAGCAACUCUCCUCUACCCCCUCCAGACAGGACUCCAUCUGGAUCAAUUCCUUCAUCCCCAAGAACUUCCCUCAAUAUGUCUUACCCUGCAGGUGGUGAAUUCCCUGUUUACCUGUAAACAUCUUUUUCUGCUUUCAUUUCGAGGGAUAUUGUCACUGGAGGCACAAUUUUGGAUCGACAUGUCCUGAGUCCCACACUUUCCGUCCCCAUCACCUCUAGGAAGCACUCUUGCUUCCUUGCAGACAAUACAUCUGCUUUGAAGAGUUUUUUCUUAGUCUUUGGUGUUCAGUGAUCUAAUCAUGCUGUGCCCGGGAGUCAUUUUCUUCCGUUCUUCUUGGAGUUGGCUGAGAGGCUUGAACCUGUAAGUUCUCUGUUCUUCACAAAAUGAGGGGAAGUUUUGAUCGUUAGCCCUUCAAGUCUUCUGCCUCUGGCCCAUUAUAAAGAGAUGUAUGUUGCAUCUCUUGAUAUUUCCC